CUGCAGAUAGUACAGCUGCCACAGGAGCAGGGAUGCCUGAGCACAAGUGGCUGAGUUCCGAGUGACUUUAUGAAGCACUUUUCGACCUUUUUCCAGCAUGAAAACAGGAAUUCUGCACCUGCAUCAAGGACAGUCUGGCAGAAGCCUCUGCUCUACCUCUGGAGACCAGGAACUACGGCAAAUAACCAUUUCGAAAUUGGAUCUUGGCAAAAUUGCCAACAAAUCUAUGAAGAAAACUGAAAGCAGUUUGAGUUCCAUCUUCAAUGACAAUUCCACAAAAGUUGAAGAAACAUAUAAUGUCUUCCAAAGAUGAGUAGUGAGCUUGGUUAGUUGGACUCUAAAAUUAGAACAUGAUUAAGGGUGGUGCAAAGAAAACACGAAGAAGUUCCUCAGCACCCACGCCACUGCCACCCACGUCCUUACAGCAGCAGCAGCAGCAACACCACAGAAAAUAUUUGAUCCUUACAUCUUCUGUUAGAUUUCCUGGGCCGAUUGGGAUAGAAACUCCAGGUGAUUUUAUCCUUCUGCUUCUCUGGGUGAAAACUCAUUCAAAUAAUAUUGCCUCUUGCUAUGGAAUUUGCUAAGGAAGGAAAAAAUAUAUAUAAACAACCAUGUAACUCUCAGAACACUUACGAUAUA